GAGAGGAGAAGGGCGGCUGCCGGUGCCUUAUGGGUGCUGAGGAAAGUCCCCCCACCAUAGAUAAGCGAGUAGGAUUAUCUACCUCCCGAGAGGGUGGGCUCUGGCACAGAAACGACACGUCUGCACGAAAGAUGACGAUGAUGUGGUUAAAAGCCAUUGAGGAUUCGGGCAGGAUCGUUGAAACGGCGAAACCUCGCAGGUGCAAGUCUUUUAGACGCUUAGAUGAAUGCCGCCAAAACAGAAGGGGGCUUACUCUCUCCUCUC
rnacentral:RNase_P_RNA from 1 species